UAAAUAAGGGUAGCGGGGGAGAAAGCUUAUCACACCCUACUCCAAUCUCCCAUCACCAUGAGGGCUUUCCUUGUAUGCUUUCUCUUCAUUUCAGUCCUUCUCUUUGCCUCUUGCGUUAGUGCUCGAGAGUUGGUUCAAAAUGGUAAUUUCUUUUUCUACAUCCAUUUUAUAUUCAUGUAACUCGUUAGCUGUACAUAUGAUCGUUACUUACAUUGCCUUGAAUAGAAUGUCCUGCUAACAUAAUCAAGGUUUUUCCUAGUUUGAAAAGGACAGAAAGAUAAAAAUUGGAAGUGUUUUUCUUGUUUUUGAAAAAAUAUUAGUAUGUAUGUAUAUAGGGUACGUUACAUGUAAAAACUUCAAAUACACAAUCAUGCAUGAGCUGUUGUUUUUCCCCUUUGUCAUAUAUGUAAGUUAUAUAGGGGAAUAAAAAUUGUAAAAGAAAAUUCCUUUCAUUUCUAUCUUAUCUAAUAUAAAGGAAGUUAUAUAACUUAUAUAGAUUCAAUUUUAUUUUAUUUUUUAAAAAAAAAUUAUCUAUUCAAUUAGUAGAGAUGAGUAAUGGGAAAAAGUUCGAAGAUGAUUUAUCAUCACUAUUCUAUUCCAAGUUAAAAAGAUAAAUAAUGAAAACAAAUAUUAUUACCAUAAUCUCUUAUUAAUUAAUAUACAAUGUUAUUUUUAAUAUAUAUAUAGGGUUAUUUGACUUUGAAAUAAUCCUCAAUUUGUAAAUCUAACCUUUCAUAUUCUUUUAGCCUAAAAAAUACAAAUUUUUAAUUAAAAAAAACAUCGUAAUAUUUUUCUUUUAAAAACAAUGAUGUUGCAACUUGGAUGAAUUGAUGACUAAUCCAAUCGCAACUUAAAUUAAGAAACGGUAAAUCGAAGUUCAAUUUAACCUCUAACAUGAAAUACUCAACCUAAACUUUACCUAAUAUCAUUUCUCCAAGUUUGGGUUGGUUGGUUGACUGAGUUGCAUAAUUUAAAAUCUAUCUAUAAUGUUUCUUAAAUAUAUUUAUAUUAAUUUUUUUUAAAAUAAAUAGAACAAAUUUUCAAGAUAAUAACAAAAAAAAAGGUAAAAAUAAAUUUAUAUAUCUUUCUAAAAAAAAGUAUACAAUAUAAAAUAAUUUGAUAUUUUUCUUCAAAAUUAAAAAAAAAUGAAUAUUAUUAUAUAGGUUAAUAUACAUAAUAAAUAUUAUAAAAACAUAUAUUUGAAUUAGGUUUGGAUUGUUAGAACAUUAAUAUGAGUCCAACCCAUAAAUAGAACUUGAGUUGGAAAAAACCUAAUUCAAACCCAAUCUGAGUAUUUUAAAUAAUUGUUCAACUCCAUUCAAACAUUGGGUUGACACCUAAGUUAAACCACAAAAAAAUAACCUUCUUUUUUAAAAAUUACAAAUAAAUAAUCAAAACAUUGAAGGACAUUUAUAACAAAAACAAAUUACUUUUCAAGUUUAAACAAAGGAGAGUGAGAUUUACAAAUUUAGAUUAUUUCAUAUAUUUUAAUCAAAUAAUAUGUUAUGCCUUUUCAUAUAUUUUCAUGACCAUAUAUAUAAUAGAAACACAUUAGAAUUGGAGGCAGUUCUAAUAUUAAUCCAACAACAAAACUUCAUGCCAUCCAGCUCCUUUUGAUCCGCAAAAGUAAUGUGUUUAUCUGCCGCUCCAAUAAUUAGCCUUAUGGCAGUUCUAAUAUUUUAACUAGAUCGUUUUAAUUUUAAAAAUAGUUCUAGAUCAAAAAGUAUUUUUGAAGAAAAUUUAGGUAUUUAAAAUUUAGAAAACAUUUUUAAAUAAUUGAAAAAUCAUAUUUAAUAGUGUUUUGAAAAAAAAUUCUGUAUCAAAAAGUAUUUUUGAAGAAAAAUUAGGUAUUUUAAAUUUAGAAAAUACUUUUAAAUAGUUGAAAAAUUAUUAAUAGUGUUUUUUAUAGCAACAUUUGAUAAAUGAUUUUUUCAAAAACAUUUAAGAGUUCAUUUGGUAGGGAUUAUAGAAAAUGUUUUUAGUCUUUCUAACAUUUAAAAAAAUUUUAUCUUUCAAAUAUUAAAAAGACUAAAAACGCUUUAUAAAAUCACUAGUGGCUCUUUAACAUUUAAAUUAAAAAUACUUUAAAAAAAAAUUGAUUAAACGCACUUUCAUUUCACCAAUAUUUUUAAUAUAAAAACCAUUUUUGAAAAUGAAAAUCAAAAAGUUUUAAAAAAAAAAUUGAAAAAUUACUUGUAUUCUUUUCCUCCAGAGAAUUCUGGCAGCAGCCAGUGUCAAUUAUUCAUGAAUAUUACCAUGAUAAUGAGAGAAAAUUCUAUCGUGGAGUACAAUAAUUGAGUGGAGUGAGAAAGUUGGGUACAUGUGAUAGCAGUGAACCCAUGUGCAUGAGAAAAGUUGGUUUCGGAUCAAAAGAUGUGGAUGAGAGGUACCAUAUGUUUUGUGAUAAUUGAGGUAGUGGGGACUCAUCCUUGCUUCCCCUUUUUUGCGGGACACUUUACCCUUCACACUUUCCCAUUAAUUGAAGGGACCAUCUCUUUUUCCCGAUCCACACAUAUGAAUGCCAUUAUAAAUAAGGGUAGUGGGGGAGAAAGUUUAUCAGACCCUACUCCAAUCUCCCAUCACCAUGAAGGCUUUCCUUGUAUGCUUUCUCUUCAUUUCAGUCCUUCUCUUUGCCUCUUGCGUUAGUGCUCGAGAGUUGGUUCAAAAUGAAAUAAUGAGUACUGAUCAUAAGGUGGGCAUUACAGCCCGCGAGAGCUGUGGAAUUUAUCGUCGAAAUUGCAAAUCCAAGCCAAAGAAGUGUUCUGGGAAAUAUAAAAGAUGUGCGCCACCAGGCCCUUGAAAAUGAGAAGAUAAUGCUUAGUAUCAAGGAGCUGGCCGCUAUGGACCAACAACAAACAUAUGUAGAUAGAUGGAUAGAUGGUAUGAAGAGGAGUCGCCAGGGGUUGAAGAAUAAUAUUACUUGGCGCAUGUACUGAGAUAUGUAUGGGUUGAUUUGGAGUUUGUGGUUUCGAGUGUUGGACUAUGUGCAUUAGGAGUUUGCUUAGUUAAUAAUAGAGCUGAUUUAGGUCA